rnacentral:lncRNA from 10 species
CUUGAAUCCAGGAGGUGGAGGUUGCAAUGAGCCGAGAUCGCACCAUUGUACUCCGGCCUGGGCGACAGGGCGAGACUCUGUCUCAAAAAAAAAAAAAAACAAAAACGAAGUAACAUUUAUCCCCAAAUUGUUAUCCUCAAUGCAAUCCCAAUAAAAAUGCCAGAAUUUCUGUGGCAAUUGACUAAUUGGUUCAAAAGCCCAGAAAUAGAUGUUUGCAUAAAUAAACAGUCAAAUUGUGACCAAGAUAGCACUGCAGAAUGGUAAAGAAAGGAUGGUUUUUUUGGUUUUUUUUUUUCUAACAGUGGCAUUGGAUUAAAUGAACAUUUGCAUUUUAAGAAUGAAUGUUGUCCCCUAUUUCACACUAUGCAUAGAAAUCAAUUCCAAGUGGAUUGUAGAAAUGUGAAACAAUAAAGCUCAUAGAAAAAUGAAAUCAUAGAAUAUCUUUAUGACUUUGGGGCUAGCAAAGGCCUUUUUUUUUUUUUGAGACAGGAUCUUGCUCUGUUGUCCUGGCUGCACUGCAGUGGCGUGAACAUGGCUCACUGCAACCUCUACUUCCUGGGCUCAAGUGAUCCUCCUUGUAGCCUCCAGAGUAGCUGGGACUACAGGCUCAUGCCACCAUGCCCAGUUAAUUUUUAAAUUUUUGGUAGAGAUGAGGUCUCACUGUAUUGCCCAGGCUGGUCUCAAACUCCUUGGCUCAAGUUGGCUCAAGUGAUCUUCCCACCUUGGCCUCCCAAAGUGCUGGGACUAUGGUGUAAGCCACCAUGCCCAGCUGGCAAAGACUUCUUAAAAACAGGUUAUGAAAGCAAUAACCAUAAAGAAAAGCUGAUAAAUUGAGCUAUAUUGAAAUCAGUAGCUUGUAUUCAUCAAAAGACACCAAUAAGAGUGAAAAGGGAAACCACAGAGUAGAAAAAGAUAUUUGCAAUACAUACCUGACUGGAAGCAGUAUUCUGAAUAUGUAAAGAAUGAGACAAGGCGUGAGCCACAGCGCCUGGCCCAAAAUUCACCCUUUUGAAGUGUACAAGUCAGUAGUUUUUAGUAUAUUCACAAGAUUGUGCGACUACCACCACUAUGUAAUUCUAGAGUACUUUCCUUACCCCCCAAAUAAACCCCACUAGCAGCCACUCCUCAUUUCCUCCUUCCUCUACCUUCUAGCAACCCACUAAUCUACUUUCUGUCUCAGCAGAUUUGCUGUUCUAGAUAUUUCACAUAAAUGAAAUCACACAAUAUGGCUUUUUGUGACUAGCUUCUUUGACUUAACAUGUUUUCAGGGUUCAUUCAUGUUGUAGCAUACAUCAACACUCCAUUUCUUUUCAUGGCUGAAUAAUAUUUUAUUGUAUGGAUAUGUCAUUUCAUUUAUCUGUCUGUCUGUUGAUAGAUGUUUGGGUUGCUUCUGCCUUUUGGCUAUUAUGAAUAAUGCUGCUGUACACAUUUGUAUACAAGUUUCUGUGAGGACAUAUGUUCUCAUUUGUGAUUAGUAUAAACCUUGACAUGGAAUGGCUGGGUCAUAUGGUAACAUUUAACCUUAUGAAGAACCACUAAACUGUUUCCCAAAGCAGUUGCACCACUUUACACUCCCACCAGCAAUGGAUGGGGGUUCCAGUUUCUUCAAGUCCUCACCAACACUUAUUAUUUUAGCCAUCCUAGUGGUUGUGAAGUGGUAUCUUAUUGUGGUUUUUAUUUUCAUAUUCCCAAUAACUAAAGAUGUUAAGUAUCUUUUCAUACGCUUAUUUUGCAUUUUUAUAACUUCUUUGGAGAAGUGCCUCUUCAAAUCCCUUGCCCAUCUUUAAAUUGGGCUAUCUUGUUAUUGAAUUGUAAGAGUUCUUUAUAUAUUCUGGAUACUGGGCCUUUCUCAGAUCUAUGAUUGCAAAUAUUUCCCCCCAAGAAUGGGAAUUCUUAAAACCACUUUGGAAAAACUUUGGCUUUAUCUGCUAAGGUUGAAAACAUAUAUAACCUAUGGACCCAAUAAUCCACUCCUGCAUAAACACCCAACAGAAAUGAAAACACGUUUUCCAUCAAACAUAUUCAACAGUGUUUACAACAGCAUCAUUCGUAAUAACAAUUGAAAGACUGAAAAUCACCCAGACAUCCUGUGGUUAGGCUGAGUAACAGUGCCCCCAAAAAUGUCCACAUUCAAAUCCCUGGAACCUGCAAAUUUUACCUGACUUGGCAGAGACUUUGCAGAUAUGACUGAGGAUCUUGAGGGGGGUAAAUAAGAUUUCCAGUCAGCAUGUAAGGAGUUUUGAGGUCAUCACUUUGUCCUAAGUAGAGCUGUCAGGGCGCGGUGGCUCACACCUGUAAUCCCAGCACUUUGGGAGGCCGAGGCGGGUGGAUCACCUGAGGUCAGGAGUUCAAGAUAAGCCUGGUCAACAUGGUGAAACCCCAUCUCUACUAAAUAUACAAAUAUUAGCUGGGCAUGUUGGCAGGUGCCUGUAGUCCCAGCUGCUCGGGAGGCUGAGGCAGGAGAAUCGCUUGAACCCGGGAGGCGGAGGUUGCAGUGAGCUAAGAUCAUGCCAUUGCGCUCCAGCCUGGGCAACAAGAGCAAAAUUUCGUCUGAAAAAAAAAAAAAGAAAAAGCAGUAGAGCUGUGGGAGAAAUGGUCACAGGGCAAACCACUGCCUCCCAAAUUGGAGACAGACAGGUGACACAGAAUCACAACUUACCGGAGCAGAAAUCACUGGGCAUACACCUCCAUGGGAACCAGUACUGGGACAGAGGAAUCUGAAUUGUAAUUGAUGAAUUGCCCAGAGGUUCAGUUUGGGUAAGUGUGUGAGUUAAUAAUUCUACAAACACCCAGUCAUAAGAGGGUCCCCACACUUUGUGAGUUUUACCUCUAGGAGCUCUCCCAGGUUCUCACCGUGAAGAUCAGAGUGAAGAUUUCACCAUGAAGAUCUCUCGUGCUUCUGGCAAGGGAGGGGGAAAGUAACCAUUUUGAAAUAUGCCAGAGCAUUCUGUUCUUAACAAGGCCUGUCCUCAAGAAAAAUGAUUCUGCCACAGCCUUACCUGUUGAGGUUUUAUCAGAGCCAAAUCAACCUGGUGGAAGGGAAACACCUAACUCCAGCCCCUUCUAGACAUCCUGUCCCACCUAAAGGGGGUGGGGGUACUGAAAAGCACUUGUGAAGUUUACAUCCCAGGGGCACAGGCUUGCUAAAACUGAGACCUUAUCAUACAAAUACAGAAAGCUUCCUCUCCCCCCAUACCGCUAAAUGACUACUUACCAGAGUUCCUUUUACUGUACAUCAUAUCCAGCUGUUAAUAAAAAAGUACGAAGCAUACAAAAAACAGUUUGAAGACAGAGCAAGCAUCAGAACCAGACUGGGAUAUAGCAGCGAUGUUGGAAUUAUCAGACCAUGAAUUUAAAACAACUAUGACUAAUACGCUAAGGACUCUAGUGGAAAAAGUAGACAACAUGCAAGAACAGAUGGGUAAUGUUAAGCAGAGAGGUGAAGUCUAAGAGCGUAUCAAAAAGAAAUGCUAGAGAUUAAGAAAAAGCUAACAAAGAAUGCCUUUGAUGGGCUCACUAGCAGACUGGAUUGAAGGAGAGAAUCGCUAAGCUGAGGAAAGAAUUGCUGAGCUGGAGGACACGUCAAUAGCAACUUCCAAAACUGAAAAGCAAAGAAAAAACAGACACACACGCACACAAAGGAACAAAAUGUGCAAGAACUGUGGGGCAAGUCCAAACGGUGUAACAUGUAGAUAAUAGGCAUACCAAGAGAAGAAAGGAACAAAAUAAAUAUUUGAAGCAAUGACUGAGAAUUUCCCCAGAUUAAUGUUACACCAAACUACAGAUCCAUGAAGUUCAGGAAGCAUUAAGAAAGAUAAAUGGGCUGGGUGCGGUGGCUCACACCUGUAAUCCCAACACUUUGGGAGGUCGAGGCAAGAGGAUUGCUUGAGCCCAGGAGUCUGAGACCAGCCUGAACAACACGGUGAAACCCUGUCUCCACGAACAAUACAAAAAUUAGCUGGGUGUGGUGGCGCAUGCCUGUAGCCCCAGCUACUAGGGAGGCUGAGCUGGGAGGAUUGCUUGAGCCUGGGAGGCAGAGGUUGUAGUGAGCCCUGAUUGAGUCACUGCACUCCAGCCUGAGCAACAGAGUGAGAACUUGUCUCAAAAAAUAAAAUAAAAUUAAUAAAAUAAUAAAAUAAAAUGAAAAAUAAAUGAAAAAAAAAAACCCUACACCUAGGCAUAUCAUAUUCAAAUUACAGAAAAUUAAAGAAAAAGUCUUGAAAGAAGCCAGAGGAAAAAAUAUCCUCUAGAGGAGCAAACAUAAGAAAUUCAUCUGAUUCCUUUUCAGAAACAAUGCAAGCAAGAGAGUGCAGUGAAAUAUUUAAAGUGUGGAGGGAGAGUAUACGGAAUUAUUCAGGGGGGGCCAAUUUAAUCACUUCAGUCCUUACAACAGGGAGGCAGGGAGGUCAGAAUGAAAGUGAUGUGAUGGAUGCAGAGUUGAAGAUGCUAGGCUGCUGGCUUUGGAGAAGGGGCCAAGAGCCAAAGAAUGCAGGCAGCUUCUAGAUGCCAGAAAGACAACAGAUACUUGGCCGGGCGCGGUGGCUCACGCCUGUAAUCCCAGCACUUUAGGAGGCGGAGGAGGGCGGAUCAUGAGGUCAGGAGAUCAAGACCAUCCUGGCUAACAUGGUGAAACCCUGUAUCUACUAAAAAUACAAAAAAUUAGCCGGGCGUGCUGGCGGGC